rnacentral:tRNA from 1 species
AGGAAUAUAGUUAAAUAAUAAUAUUUUAAUUGCAAUAAAAAGUUAAGUUUUAUAUUUUAUUCUUA